UGGCAUUCAGAAGUGAUACACAUAAGGAAGAGAGUUUUUAUGGAUGUCAACUUCUUUAUUAUAAGGAACACAACGUUAAGUGUUGGCUUCAAUUCAGCACUAUUUUACUGUUGAGUGUUGGCUUCUAUUCAGCACUGUUUAACUGUCGGCUUCUAUUAGCCUUAACAGUUAAAUAGUGCUGACUGAAGGCCAACACGUAACAGUUAAAUAGUGAGAAUAGAAGCCAACACUUAAUAGUUAAAUAGAGCUGAAUUGAAGCCAACACUUCACAGUUAAAUAGUGCUGAAUAGAAGUCAGCACUUAACAGUUAAAUAGUGAGAAUAGAAGACAACACUUAAUAGUUAAAUAGAGCUGAAUUGAAGCCAACACUUCACAGUUAAAUAGUGAGAAUAGAAGUCAGCACUUAACAGUUAAAUAGUGCUGAAUAGAAGCCAGCACUUAACAGUUAAAAAGUGCUGAAUGGAAGCCAACACUUAAAUAGUGCUGAAUUGAAGCCAACACUUCACAGUUAAAUAGUGCUGAAUUGAAGCCAACACUUCACAGUCAAAUAGAGCUGAAUAGAAGCCAACACUUCACAGUAUAAUAGGGCUGAAUAGAAGCCAGCACUUAACAGUUAAAUAGUGCUGAAUUGAAGCCAACACUUCACAGUUAAAUAGUGCUGAAUUGAAGCCAACACUUCACAGUCAAAUAGAGCUGAAUAGAAGCCAACACUUCACAGUAUAAUAGGGCUGAAUAGAAGCCAGCACUUAACAGUUAAAUAGUGCUGAAUUGAAGCCAACACUUCACAGUUAAAUAGUGCUGAAUAGAAGCCAGCACUUAACAGUUAAAUAGUGAGAAUAGAAGCCAACACUUAAUAGUUAAAUAGUGCUGAAUUGAAGCCAACACUUCACAGUUAAAUAGUGCUGAAUAGAAGCCAGCACUUAACAGUUAAAUAGUGAGAAUAGAAGCCAACACUUAACAGUUAAAAAGUGCU